rnacentral:rRNA from 1 species
CGUAGGGCGCGAGCGUUGUCCGGAUUUAUUGGGCGUAAAGAGCUCGUAGGCGGCUUGUUGCGUCGACCGUGAAAACCCGGGGCUCAACUUCGGGCUUGCGGUCGAUACGGGCGGGCUAGAGUUCGGUAGGGGAGACUGGAAUUCCUGGUGUAGCGGUGAAAUGCGCAGAUAUCAGGAGGAACACCGGUGGCGAAGGCGGGUCUCUGGGCCGAUACUGACGCUGAGGAGCGAAAGCGUGGGGAGCGAACAGGAUUAGAUACCCUGGUAGUCCACGCUGUAAACGUUGGGCGCUAGGUGUGGGGGGCCUCUCCGGUUCUCUGUGCCGCAGCUAACGCAUUAAGCGCCCCGCCUGGGGAGUACGGCCGCAAGGCUA